rnacentral:rRNA from 1 species
CCUACGGGCGGCUGCAGUGAGGAAUAUUGGUCAAUGGCCGAGAGGCUGAACCAGCCAAGUCGCGUGAGGGAAGAAUGUCCUAUGGAUUGUAAACCUCUUUUGUCAGGGAGCAAAGUCACCCACGUGUGGGUGUUGGAGAGUACCUGAAGAAAAAGCAUCGGCUAACUCCGUGCCAGCAGCCGCGGUAAUACGGAGGGUGCGAGCGUUAAUCGGAAUUACUGGGCGUAAAGCGCUCGUAGGCGGUAUGUCAAGUCAAGGGUGAAAUCCCCGCGCUCAACGUGGGAACUGCCUUUGAAACUGGCAAACUGGAGUGUGUGAGAGGAUAGUGGAAUUCCAGGUGUAGGAGUGAAAUCCGUAGAUAUCUGGAGGAACAUCAGUGGCGAAGGCGACUAUCUGGCACAUAACUGACGCUGAGGAGCGAAAGCGUGGGUAGCAAACAGGAUUAGAUACCCCAGUAGUC